GACGAACGCUGGCGGCGUGCUUAACACAUGCAAGUCGAACGGAAAGGCCCUGCUUUUGUGGGGUGCUCGAGUGGCGAACGGGUGAGUAACACGUGAGUAACCCGCCCCUGACUUUGGGAUAACUUCACGAAACAGGGGCUAAUAUCGGAUAGGAGCUCCUGCUGCAUGGUGGGGGUUGGAAAGUUUCGGCGGUUGGGGAUGGACUCGCGGCUUAUCAGCUUGUUGGUGGGGUAGUGGCUUACCAAGGCUUUGACGGGUAGCCGGCCUGGGAGGGUGACCGGCCACAAGGGGACUGAGAGACGGCCCAGACGCCUACGGGAGGCAGCAGUGGGGAAUAUUGCGCAAUGGGCGGGAGCCUGAGGCAGCGGCGCCGCGUGCGGGAUGACGGCCUUCGGGUUGUAAACCGCUUUCGCCUGUGACGAAGCGGGAGUGACGGUAAUGGGUAAAGAAGCACCGGCUAACUACGUG
rnacentral:rRNA from 1 species